AUUGAACGCUGGCGGCGGGCCUAACACAUGCAAGUCGAACGAGUGGCGGACGGGUGAGUAAUGUCUGGGAAACUGCCUGAUGGAGGGGGAUAACUACUGGAAACGGUAGCUAAUACCGCAUACCAUCGGAUGUGCCCCGCGGGGAUGAGCUAGUAGGUGGGGUAAAGGCUCCCCGAGGCGACGAUCCCUAGCUGGUCUAAGAGGAUGACCGGCCACACUGGAACUGAGACACGGUCCAGACGCCUACGGGAGGCAGCAGUGGGGAAUAUUGGACAAUGGGCGAAAGCCUGAUCCAGCAAUGCCGCGUGUAUGAAGAAGGCUUUCGGGUUGUAAAGUACUUUCAGCGGGGAGGCGGUACCCGCAGAAGAAGCACCGGCUAACUCCGUGCCAGCAGCCGCGGUAAUAC
rnacentral:rRNA from 1 species